UAGUUUCACUUCUUUAACAUUUGUAAAGGUUAGUUUCAGGACACUGAAUACAGGCUAUCCUGGUGAAUGUUCCAUGGGCACUUGAAAAGGAGGUGUAUUCUGAUGUUGUUGUAUAGAGUGUUUUAUAAAUGUUAGAUCCAGUUGACCGAUGGUCUUGUUCUUUCUUCAAUGGCCUUUCUAGUUUUCUGUCUUCCAGGACUAUUCCCACUCAGCUGAGAGAAAAGUGCUAUAGUCUCUGUAAUUGCGAAUUUGUCUAUUUCUCCUUUCAUUUCUGCCAGCCUUUGUUCCAUGUAUUCCAAAGCUCUGUUUUAGGGUGCGUACACGUUUAAGAUUGCUAGGUGUCCUUGGUAAACUGAACUUGUCCCUUGUAAAUUUCCUUGCUCAGGAGUCUACUUAGCCUGAUCUUAAUAUCGCCACUGCAGCUUUCUUUUGAAUGUUUUCUUUUUCCAUUCCUCUACUUUCAGCCUAUGUGUAUCAUUACAUUUGAAGUAAGUUUCUCGUAGGCAGUGUAUUGUUAGGUCUUGUUUUGUUUCUCCUUCCAUCCUUUCUGACAAUCUCUUUCUUUUAGUUGGUGUGUUUAUCUACAUUUAGGAUUAUUAUCUACCUGUGGGGAUGUAGAUGCACCAUUUUAUCAAUUUUCCGUUUUUCCCUUGUAUGUUUCUCUAUUUCCCCUUUCCUGUCUUUUGGGUUGUUUGCAUGCUUGUUAGUAUUUUGUUUUAUCUAUUGUGUUUCUGACUGUAUCUUUUUGUAUAGUUUUUUAGUGGUGUCUCUAGGGAGCAUACAGACUUAACUUUUCCAGUCUAUUUAGAAUCAAUGUUUUACUACUUCACAUGGAGUAUAGAAACCUUACCAUAAUAUAGGUUCCUUUCCUCUUCCCCUUUACAUUGUGGUGGUCAUAUCCUACGUGGACCUACGCUGAAAAUCCCACCAAACAAUGUUAUAGCUUUUUCCUUUCAACUGUCAGACAUCGUUUUUGAAACUUAGAAUAGUCUGUUGUAUUUGCCCAGACAUCUAUCAUUUCUAUUGCUUUUUUGUCAAGCCCGAUGUUCCAGGUUUCCUUCUGGUAUUAUUUUCCUUCUUUUUUAAAUUUUAAUUUUUAUUAAACAAAUUUUUUUAAUGUUUUUAUUUAUUUUUGAGAGAAAGAGAGAGAGAGUGCGAGCGGGGGAGGGACAGAGGGAGACACAGAACCUGAAAUAGGCUCCAGGCUUCUAGCUGUCAGCACAGACCCUGACAUGGGGCUUGAACUCACAAACCAUGAGAUCACGACCUGAGCCGAAAUUGGACGCUUAACCGACUGAACCACCCAGGCGCCCCAUCGUCCUGUUCCUUUAAAGCAAGUUUGGAGUCUGUCUCUAAUUAAACCUGGGACCAACAGAUAUGUUAAUCUCUCAGUUUUAGGUUUUGCAGGGUAGAGUCAAUGUGAAUCUAAAACUUGUAUAAGCACUGGCUCAUGGUAACAAACUAUCACGAGGGAUUUUUAAAAAUUCUACCAUCCAGGUUUGAAAGCCAAAUUUCCUUCUUGUCCUCUGUGCCUAAAGGCCCUUCCUUCUUCCCCAGCACAUGAUUGCACUGAGGGUAUCACCCCCCACAGCUUCGGCUCUAGUUGGGGGUCUCUGCUUCAACCCCCACUUCGGUUGGUCCAAGGCCUCACCUUCCCUGGAUGACAACCGGUCCCCACGUUCUGCCUGUGUCCUCACCACUCCCUGGUCCCCCGGCGAGGGCAGUUGUGGCCAACUUCAUUUCGGGUUGGAGAGUUUCCUUUUGUUUCUUCACUUCUUGGACUGAAAAGGAUGUGGUUUGUUUCUUCACUUCUUGGAUUGGAAAGGAUGCUGUUGGUAGUUUUCUUUCGUUUGACUGUUUUGGUUUCAGCCUGGCUUUUCUAGGUGUUCAGAGCCGGAUGGUUUUCAGGUUAUAUAAUCCACUCUAUUGCUCAAAACAGAAGUCCCGAUCUAAACACGAACUAAUUUUUUUUUUUUU